rnacentral:rRNA from 1 species
CCCGCGUACGAUUCGCCUUGAGUUUGAUCAUGGCUCAGGACGAACGCUGGCGGCGCGCCUUACGCAUGCAAGUCGCACGGACCUUCGGGUUAGUGGCGGACGGCUGAGUAACGCGUAGGUAACCUAUCCAGUGGUGGGGGAUAACUCGCUGAAAGGCGAGCUAAUACCGCAUGUGUUCCCGGAGUGAGACCCUCCGGGAGGAAAGCCGCAAGGCACCACUUGAGGGGCCUGCGUCCUAUCAGGUAGUUGGUAGGGUAACGGCCUACCAAGCCUGUGACGGGUAGCUGGUCUGAGAGGACGACCAGCCAGAAGGGGACUGAGACACGGCCCCUACUCCUACGGGAGGCAGCAGCGAGGAAUCUUGGGCAAUGGGCGAAAGCCUGACCCAGCGACGCCGCGUGGAGGAUGAAGGCCUUCGGGUCGUAAACUCCUUUUGUGAGGGAAGAAGUUCUGACGGUACCUCACGAAUAAGCCACGGCUAACUACGUGCCAGCAGCCGCGGUAAUACGUAGGUGGCAAGCGUUGUCCGGAUUUACUGGGCGUAAAGGGCUUGUAGGCGGUUCGUUAAGUCCGGUGUGAAAUCUCCCGGCUCAACUGG